rnacentral:rRNA from 1 species
GACGAACGCUGGCGGCGUGCCUAAUACAUGCAAGUAGAACGCUGAAGGAGGAGCUUGCUCUUCUGGAUGAGUUGCGAACGGGUGAGUAACGCGUAGGUAACCUGCCUGGUAGCGGGGGAUAACUAUUGGAAACGAUAGCUAAUACCGCAUAAAAUUGAUUAUUGCAUGAUAGUCAAUUAAAAGGUGCAAUUGCAUCACUACCAGAUGGACCUGCGUUGUAUUAGCUAGUUGGUGAGGUAACGGCUCACCAAGGCAACGAUACAUAGCCGACCUGAGAGGGUGAUCGGCCACACUGGGACUGAGACACGGCCCAGACUCCUACGGGAGGCAGCAGUAGGGAAUCUUCGGCAAUGGACGGAAGUCUGACCGAGCAGCGCCGCGUGAGUGAAGAAGGUUUUCGGAUCGUAAAGCUCUGUUGUAAGAGAAGAACGAGUGUGAGAGUGGAAAGUUCACACUGUGACGGUAUCUUACCAGAAAGGGACGGCUAACUACGUG